rnacentral:rRNA from 1 species
GCGUUAAGUUGCAGGGUAUAGACCCGAAACCCGGUGAUCUAGCCAUGGGCAGGUUGAAGGUUGGGUAACACUAACUGGAGGACCGAACCGACUAAUGUUGAAAAAUUAGCGGAUGACUUGUGGCUGGGGGUGAAAGGCCAAUCAAACCGGGAGAUAGCUGGUUCUCCCCGAAAGCUAUUUAGGUAGCGCCUCGUGAAUUCAUCUCCGGGGGUAGAGCACUGUUUCGGCAAGGGGGUCAUCCCGACUUACCAACCCGAUGCAAACUGCGAAUACCGGAGAAUGUUAUCACGGGAGACACACGGCGGGUGCUAACGUCCGUCGUGAAGAGGGAAACAACCCAGACCGCCAGCUAAGGUCCCAAAGUCAUGGUUAAGUGGGAAACGAUGUGGGAAGGCCCAGACAGCCAGGAUGUUGGCUUAGAAGCAGCCAUCAUUUAAAGAAAGCGUAAUAGCUCACUGGUCGAGUCGGCCUGCGCGGAAGAUGUAACGGGGCUAAACCAUGCACCGAAGCUGCGGCAGCGACACUAUGUGUUGUUGGGUAGGGGAGCGUUCUGUAAGCCUGUGAAGGUGGCCUGUGAGGGUUGCUGGAGGUAUCAGAAGUGCGAAUGCUGACAUAAGUAACGAUAAAGCGGGUGAAAAGCCCGCUCGCCGGAAGACCAAGGGUUCCUGUCCAACGUUAAUCGGGGCAGGGUGAGUCGACCCCUAAGGCGAGGCCGAAAGGCGUAGUCGAUGGGAAACAGGUUAAUAUUCCUGUACUUGGUGUUACUGCGAAGGGGGGACGGAGAAGGCUAUGUUGGCCGGGCGACGGUUGUCCCGGUUUAAGCGUGUAGGCUGGUUUUCCAGGCAAAUCCGGAAAACCAAGGCUGAGGCGUGAUGACGAGGCACUACGGUGCUGAAGCGACAAAUGCCCUGCUUCCAGGAAAAGCCUCUAAGCAUCAGGUAACAUCAAAUCGUACCCCAAACCGACACAGGUGGUCAGGUAGAGAAUACCAAGGCGCUUGAGAGAACUCGGGUGAAGGAACUAGGCAAAAUGGUGCCGUAACUUCGGGAGAAGGCACGCUGAUAUGUAGGUGAAGCGACUUGCUCGUGGAGCUGAAAUCAGUCGAAGAUACCAGCUGGCUGCAACUGUUUAUUAAAAACACAGCACUGUGCAAACACGAAAGUGGACGUAUACGGUGUGACGCCUGCCCGGUGCCGGAAGGUUAAUUGAUGGGGUUAGCGGUAACGCGAAGCUCUUGAUCGAAGCCCCGGUAAACGGCGGCCGUAACUAUAACGGUCCUAAGGUAGCGAAAUUCCUUGUCGGGUAAGUUCCGACCUGCACGAAUGGCGUAAUGAUGGCCAGGCUGUCUCCACCCGAGACUCAGUGAAAUUGAACUCGCUGUGAAGAUGCAGUGUACCCGCGGCAAGACGGAAAGACCCCGUGAACCUUUACUAUAGCUUGACACUGAACAUUGAGCCUUGAUGUGUAGGAUAGGUGGGAGGCUUUGAAGUGUGGACGCCAGUCUGCAUGGAGCCGACCUUGAAAUACCACCCUUUAAUGUUUGAUGUUCUAACGUUGGCCCGUAAUCCGGGUUGCGGACAGUGUCUGGUGGGUAGUUUGACUGGGGCGGUCUCCUC